rnacentral:rRNA from 1 species
GACGAACGCUGGCGGCGUGCUUAACACAUGCAAGUCGAACGGUGAAGGGACCGGUUUUUGCUGGUUCUGGAUGAGUGGCGAACGGGUGAGUAACACGUGAGUAACCUGCCCCCUUCUUCUGGAUAACCGCAUGAAAGUGUGGCUAAUACGGGAUAUUCUGCGCCUGCUGCAUGGUGGGUGUGGGAAAGAUAUUGUUUCGGUGGGGGAUGGGCUCGCGGCCUAUCAGCUUGUUGGUGGGGUGAUGGCCUACCGAGGCGGUGACGGGUAGCCGGCCUGAGAGGGUGGACGGUCACACUGGGACUGAGACACGGCCCAGACUCCUACGGGAGGCAGCAGUGGGGAAUAUUGCACAAUGGGCGCAAGCCUGAUGCAGCGACGCCGCGUGAGGGAUGGAGGCCUUCGGGUUGUAAACCUCUUUCGCCAGUGAAGCAGGCCUGUCCCUUUUGUGGGUGGGUUGACGGUAGCUGGAUAAGAAGCGCGGGCUAACUACGUG